rnacentral:misc_RNA from 1 species
UUUCCGUAGGCGAACCUGCGGAAGGAUCAUUAUAAAUGAAAAACGAAUAACUUCAGGGAAGAAGGGAACCUGCACGGUGACCUCCCCUGUCGGGCCACCCAAUACCUUCAAAAUGCCGCCGUCCUAGCGGUGGCAGACGAAAAAAAAACAAGAAAAACAAAAUAGAAACAGGCACGGUGGCCCGUUCACCUUCACACAACCCUCCGAGUACCGCUUCCAUGUUGCUUCCCCGCAAAUCCACCUCUUUGGUGAGCGCGGGGGAGGUCCGCAUCAAAUUCACCUGAAUGUCACAGCAGUCAGACAGCCAUUCAUGGAAACAAUAAAACUUUCAACAACGGAUCUCUUGGUUCCC